GCUGUAUUGAACGCAGUUUGUCCCGUAUUUAAGGCAUAUGCCGUAUGACCACCUAGACCAUACGAAUACCAAACUCUAAGCUGAGAAUCUAUUUUUCUUUUUUGACAAGUGCUUGAUUUGUGAGCAUAGCCGUUCGAGGGAGGCUUUAAGACCAAGCGGAAUCCUCUGCCGGCUGCUCGCUCCCGUUUCAAAGCGAGCGGGUCUCGCGCUAACGGAGUUAGGUUUUUUAACGUCCGCGUUUCGACUUCAGCUAACGUUAAUCAGUUUGGGAGAAUGCAAACAACUUGAUUCCAACAUCCAGCCAUGCAAGAAAACGUGCAUUUUACCUGAGGGAAGACAGAAUCAAUAAGGAAAGUCGUCUUUCUUUAAUGUAGCAGAGUUGGAGUGGACCUCUUGUUGAAGAACUUCUCCAGGCACUAUGAACCAUCUGACUAGCCAUCCUGUUUAACACUGCACUGAGGACACUACAACCAGAGAGAUGCUGUCAUGAAACGCCAUGAAAAGGCAACUGCUGGACACCUGGGACAGGCCAUCAAUUCCAAGUUGGCGGAACUGAGGUUUCAACUGAAGAAAAAGGAGAGCCUGUUAGAGUUUAGAGUUGUCUAAUAGAGAGGGUGAAGGAAGAACAUCCAAACCCUGCCCCUGCUUCCUUUUUUUAUGGAUUUAUAUAAUGGUGUUUUUUCGUAAAGUAAAGAGAGUGGCAAAAUUAACAUGACCCUACUUUGAUGUUUUGUUCUACAAAUUAAACCACACACACACUCCAACAACACCAAUUUUGAUACAAUUUGCAUUUGCAAGAAUUUUUUUUUUAAUUUUGCCACUGCCUUUACUUUACGAAAAAAAAACACCAUUAUAUAAAUCCAUAAAAUCUUGAAGAAAUCAGGGGCAGGGUUUGGAUGUUCUUCUUUCACCCUCUCUAUAAGACAACUCUAAAAUUGUUUUUUUUUUUAACAGACUUUAUUUAAUUAAUUAAAACUUCUCCAAGAAUUACUUUUCAGGUUUUAGCAUCAUCCUUUAGUAUUCAUAAUAGCAAUUUCAGUAAAGUUGCUGGUUUGAUUUAUGUUUUAACUGUGCAGUUUAUGUGCAUUCUGUUCUUUUGCCAAUGUCAAUAAUAUUUUUAUUUUUCUAUAGUAGGUGUUAUGUCAUCUGAAUAUACUGCUCAUUUUUGCAAGUGAAUUUAUACUGUCACAGUUUUUAAGUUGCAUUGUCUGGGGAUUUGUAAAUUUUUUUCAGUCUCCAAUUUCUGUUCAGUAUUUGAAUGUUUAAAUUCAUAUAUAUACAUAUUACAUUUCAG
ensembl:lncRNA